AUAGAUACCCGGGUAGUCCACGCCGUAAACGGUGGGCACUAGGUGUGGGCGACAUUCCACGUCGUCCGUGCCGCAGCUAACGCAUUAAGUGCCCCGCCUGGGGAGUACGGCCGCAAGGCUAAAAACUCAAAGGAAUUGACGGGGGCCCGCACAAGCGGCGGAGCAUGUGGCUUAAUUCGACGCAACGCGAAGAACCUUACCAAGGCUUGACAUACACCGGAAACGUCCAGAGAUGGGCGCCCCCUUGUGGUCGGUGUACAGGUGGUGCAUGGCUGUCGUCAGCUCGUGUCGUGAGAUGUUGGGUUAAGUCCCGCAACGAGCGCAACCCUUGUCCCGUGUUGCCAGCAGGCCCUUGUGGUGCUGGGGACUCACGGGGAGACCGCCGGGGUCAACUCGGAGGAAGGUGGGGACGACGUCAAGUCAUCAUGCCCCUUAUGUCUUGGGCUGCACACGUGCUACAAUGGCCGGUACAAUGAGCUGCGAUACCGCGAGGUGAGCGAAUCUCAAAAAGCCGGUCUCAGUUCGGAUUGGGGUCUGCAACUCG
rnacentral:rRNA from 1 species